GCCUAAAAUCUAGCCCAUCUAACCCACAUGACCCCCUUAACCAACUGUCUUGUAAACAAAACAUUUUAACAUUUUAGUACAGGUGAGCGAAAAAUUUCUAAGCGCUUCAGAUAAAGUACCGCAAGGAAUAAUGAAAUAGAAAUGAAAUAACCUUAAAGCCCUAAAUAGCAGAGCUUCCCCCUCGUACCUUUUGCAUCAUGGUCUAGCCAGUUUCCCAGGCAAAAAGAAAAUUUUAGUCUGACUCCCCGAAAUCAAGUGAGCUACUAAACAGCCCAAAGGGCCAACCCGUCUCUGUUGCAAAAGAGUGGGAAGAUUUCCAAGUAGAGGCGAUAAACCUACCGAGCUUAGAGAUAGCUGGUUGUUCAGGAAAAGAGUCUUAGCUCUACCUUAAAUUUUUUUAUUGCACCAAACAAAACACUAGAUUUAAGAGCUAUUCAAAUAAGGCACAGCUUAUUUGAAAUGGGAUACAACCCCUAAUACUGGGUUAAUCUAGAUAUAUUAAAUAAAGUGGGCCUAAAAGCAGCCAUCUUCUAAAAAGCGUUAAAGCUUAACAUAUUAUUAUCUACAAUUCCACAAUUUUUACUUAACCCUUCAUCACUACUGAACUAUUUUAUACGCCUAUAAAAGUCAUUAUGCUAGAACUAGUAACAAGAAAUUGCCCUUCUCCAAAAUGUAUGUUUAAACCAAAAUGGACCCUCCACUGGUAGUUAACGUAAAUGUAAAAAUCAUAGUACCACACACUAGAAAACCCUAUGACCUCCCCAACGUCACCCUUACACUAGAACAUUACAGGAAAGAUUAAAAGAGAAAGAAGGAACUCGGCAAACCACAGUCCCGCCUGUUUACCAAAAACACCGCCUCUUGCCCAAAUAUAAGAGGUCCAGCCUGCCCAGUGACAUAGUUUAACGGCCGCGGUACCCUAACCGUGCGAAGGUAGCAUAAUCACUUGUUCUUUAAAUAAGGACUCGUAUCAACGGCAUCACGAGGGCUGUACUGUCUCCUUUCUCCAAUCAGUGAAACUGAUCUCCCCGUGAAGAAGCGGGGAUUGACCUAUAAGACGAGAAGACCCCAUGGAGCUUUAAACCCAACACACACCCCUACGCACCCAAACCAAUACAGCCCAAGAGACUUGUGUGUUGGUUUUAGGUUGGGGGGACCGCGGAGUAAAAUCAAACCUCCAUGACAGACGGGCUAAUACCCUUAUCCAUGAACCACAAUUCUAAGAGCCAAUAAAUUGUUGUCUAAUGACCCAAUUACUUGAUCAACGAACCAAGUUACCCUGGGGAUAACAGCGCAAUCUACUUCAAGAGCCCCUAUCGACAAGUAGGUUUACGACCUCGAUGUUGGAUCAGGGUAUCCUAGUGGUGCAGCCGCUACUAAAGGUUCGUUUGUUCAACGAUUAAAACCCUA
rnacentral:rRNA from 1 species